GCUUGCUACUUUGCCGGCGAGCGGCGGACGGGUGAGUAAUGUCUGGGAAACUGCCUGAUGGAGGGGGAUAACUACUGGAAACGGUAGCUAAUACCGCAUGACCUCGUAAGAGCAAAGUGGGGGACCUUCGGGCCUCACGCCAUCGGAUGUGCCCAGAUGGGAUUAGCUAGUUGGUGAGGUAAUGGCUCACCUAGGCGACGAUCCCUAGCUGGUCUGAGAGGAUGACCAGCCACACUGGAACUGAGACACGGUCCAGACUCCUACGGGAGGCAGCAGUGGGGAAUAUUGCACAAUGGGCGCAAGCCUGAUGCAGCCAUGCCGCGUGUGUGAAGAAGGCCUUAGGGUUGUAAAGCACUUUCAGCGAGGAGGAAGGGUUCAGUGUUAAUAGCACUGUGCAUUGACGUUACUCGCAGAAGAAGCACCGGCUAACUCCGUGCCAGCAGCCGCGGUAAUACGGAGGGUGCAAGCGUUAAUCGGAAUUACUGGGCGUAAAGCGCACGCAGGCGGUUUGUUAAGUCAGAUGUGAAAUCCCCGCGCUUAACGUGGGAACUGCA
rnacentral:rRNA from 1 species